rnacentral:rRNA from 1 species
UUACAUCUCUUCGGAGCAUUUUACGAGGUGCUGCAUGGUUGUCGUCAGCUCGUGCCGUGAGGUGUCGGGUUAAGUCCCAUAACGAGCGCAACCCCUACCUUUAGUUGCCAUCAGGUUAAGCUGGGGACUCUAAAGGAACUGCCUACGCAAGUAGUGAGGAAGGCGGGGAGUGACGUCAAAUCAGCACGGCCCUUACGUCCAGGGCUACACACGUGCUACAAUGGCCGAUACAGAGGGCAGCUACCUGGUGACAGGAUGCAAAUCUCCAAAGUCGGUCUCAGUUCGGAUCGGAGUCUGCAACCCGACUCCGUGAAGUUGGAUUCGCUAGUAAUCGCGCAUCAGCCAUGGCGCGGUGAAUACGUUCCCGGGCCUU